UUCUAUUCACGUAUAUGGCACUAUUCACGUAUACAGUACUAUUUUCGAAUACAGAGUACUAUUCAUGAGUAACUAUUCAUGAUUUACUAUUCACGACAAAAUUGGGUUUUUUUCCGGACCAAAUUAUCAUUAACUUCUGAAUCUUACUCUUGAAAUUAAAUCCAUGUUUUGAUUAUAUUAUUUUUUAUCAUAUAUAACAUUUUUAUAACCCUGAUGUUGAAAUUCUCUUUCACUUGAGUUUAAAGAUGGGUAGUGUAAGACCCCAACUUUUAUAAAUAAAAAUGAAUUUUCUAUAAAUAUCAUUUUUGAAUAUUAUGGAAUAAAUUUGAUAUAAUGUUAUAGCUGUGGGUAAUAUUUAUAAAUUUUACAAAGUAUGCAAGUUAUUAUAUAAUAUUCGAAUUGUCGGGGAAUAUUCGUUUUAACAGGAAAUAUUCGUACGACGGCAUAAUUAUUGGUGGACCCCACAACAGAAUUAUUGUCGGAUUGAGAAAACAACAAAAAUAUUUUAUUGAAAAUAACGGCGGAAGUUUU
rnacentral:lncRNA from 1 species